AAAGCGUGCGCAGGCGGUUUGUAAGACUGUCGUGAAAUCCCCGGGCUCAACCUGGGAAUGGCGAUGGUGACUGCAAGGCUAGAGUUUGGCAGGAGGGGGGUAGAAUUCCACGUGUAGCAGUGAAAUGCGUAGAUAUGUGGAGGAACACCGAUGGCGAAGGCACGCCCCCUGGGUCAAAACUGACGCUCAUGCACGAAAGCGUGGGGAGCAAACAGGAUUAGAUCCCGAGU
rnacentral:rRNA from 1 species